rnacentral:rRNA from 1 species
UUACCGAGUUUACAACUCCCAAACCCCUGUGAACAUACCAUAUUGUUGCCUCGGCGGUGCCCGUUUCGGCGGCCCGCCAGAGGACCCAAACCCUGUAUUAAAGUAUUCUUCUGAGUAAAUGAUUAAAUCAAUCAAAACUUUCAACAACGGAUCUCUUGGCUCUGGCAUCGAUGAAGAACGCAGCGAAAUGCGAUAAGUAAUGUGAAUUGCAGAAUUCAGUGAAUCAUCGAAUCUUUGAACGCACAUUGCGCCCGCCAGUAUUCUGGCGGGCAUGCCUGUCCGAGCGUCAUUUCAACCCUCAAGCCCCCGGGCUUGGUGUUGGAGAUCGGCGAGCCCUCCGGGGCAAGCCGUCUCCCAAAUUUAGUGGCGGUCUCGCUGUAGCUUCCUCUGCGUAGUAGCACACCUCGCACUGGGAAACAGCGUGGCCACGCCGUAAAACCCCCCACUUCUGAAAGGUUGACCUCGGAUCAGGUAGGAAUACCCGCUGAACUUAAGCAUAUCA